GCCUUCGUGCACAGCAUUCAGGAGAAGUGGAAGAAUUGUCUCGAGACCUGGGUAACCAGGAGGUGAUUUCUCGCCAUCUUUUUCUUCGACGCGAAGCAAUCGAUGAUGUCCAUAUUAUCCCAGAGCGCUUGCUGAUCCUCUGGUGUCCCGAGGAUGGGUCUGACUUCACUCCUGGCGGCUCCAAUCCUCACGGAAUCGUCUUGAGUUAAAAAUAGAUGAUGUGGGCUUACCUCGCAGAUGUGAACAGGGCGAUUGUAUCGACUAGCCAGGACCACUACGGUAGCGGUAACAUGGCCUUCGGCGUGAACGCACAGUGGAUAUUUUUUCGGCCAAUUUUCAAAGUGCUGAUACAUCUUCAGGGCAGCUGCCAUCGGUGCAAUCUCCGGAAGAGUAUUAUAAUUAAUCGAGGAUGCACCCACGAAGAGAGCGUAGUCACAUCGAGCUCCAGCAGUUGCACACUACGAACAAAUACUUAUCCACAUUACGAGAAUCCACUUAGGAUAUCCGUGUAUCUUUUAUUUUAUUUUUUAUCCGUGUAUAGAUCAUCUUACAAAUUGAGAACUUUUUUAUCAUCGCAUUUGUGAAUUAAAUGAUGUUUGAAAGAGAAAAAUAAAAUAUUGUAAAUCUCA